rnacentral:pre_miRNA from 1 species
AUCCCUGAGACUGAUAAUUGCUCUAGUUAUUAUAUCAUUAAUGAGUUUACAAUAAGGGCAAUUAUUAUUCUCAGGUGU